AGUGAACGCUGGCGGUAGGCCUAACACAUGCAAGUCGAACGGCAGCACAGAGGAGCUUGCUCCUUGGGUGGCGAGUGGCGGACGGGUGAGGAAUACAUCGGAAUCUACUCUGUCGUGGGGGAUAACGUAGGGAAACUUACGCUAAUACCGCGUACGACCUACGGGUGAAAGCAGGGGAUCUUCGGACCUUGCGCGAUUGAAUGAGCCGAUGUCGGAUUAGCUAGUUGGCGGGGUAAAGGCCCACCAAGGCGACGAUCCGUAGCUGGUCUGAGAGGAGGAUCAGCCACACUGGAACUGAGACACGGUCCAGACUCCUACGGGAGGCAGCAGUGGGGAAUAUUGGACAAUGGGCGCAAGCCUGAUCCAGCCAUACCGCGUGGGUGAAGAAGGCCUUCGGGUUGUAAAGCCCUUUUGUUGGGAAAGAAAUCCAUCUGGUUAAUACCCGGGUGGGAUGACGGUACCCAAAGAAUAAGCACCGGCUAACUUCGUGCCAGCCGCCGCGGUAA
rnacentral:rRNA from 1 species